AACUCUCCUCUUCCGUCCUGCUCCCUCACCCGGCUCUCUCCCCUCCCUCGGACUCCCCUGAACACUCUCCAACUCUCCGGAACACUCGUCAACUAUUCAACAGUUACCCUGUUAGACGCUUUGAACUUUCCGCGAGCAAUCCACGCGCUGGAAGCACCGACAGAAAGCCCAUCUCAAGGACACCACGAGGACACGACAUACACGCAGUCUUGCUCAGCUGACACAAAGGUCCACUUUCAGUCUUUUCCCCCUCACUGAUGAAUCUGCAUGGAGCCAUUCAGGACAAGGAGAGAGGGUGGCCAAAUUAGGCAGAUGACUCAGCUCAAGAUCUCCACAGUCCAUCAGCUUUGUUGCCUCUGAUGCCCUCCAUACAUGGGGUUCCAUUCUAUCCUCACACAGUUCUUUGGCUAUCUACACACGCAAGUUACCAGAGAUUGGAUGCUUGGAACAGCCAGUGUGCAGGGAGUCAUCAGUGUUUUUAAAUAAACACUUGAGCACCAUUGGGCUGUUCAUUUCAGGCGCUCUGUCACAUCUUCUGUGAAUGUGGCCACGACACUUCUUACAGUUGCCUCUGAUUUCUAUGUAUUUCUAUGUGGCUGAGAUGUUGUGUCUAUUUAAUUUAACAAAUGUGUAUAGAGCCUUUGCAGUGAUCUUGUUUUCUAGCUGCUUACUAAGCUCUGUCCAGAUGCUUUGAUUAGGAGUAGUUAUGUUGCCAUUUUGGACUUAUGGCCUCUUUUGAUGAACACAGGACUGUGAAAACGGAAUCUCUGUCAACUUCUGGUUUCUUGGACAUCUGCCAUAAGCAAAACAUAAUUACCCACUUAAAUAAUCCUGACUCAAAAAAUGUCAUGUUCAGUAUAAACUUGUUUUCAUUACUGUAUUGGUCUGAAUAUAAGGAUAAUAUAGUAAUAAUAUAUAAGGAUAAUGUAUCUUAUAUUAGGACCAAUAUGGUAAUGUUGACCCCUAGAUGCACAAUGUAUUAAAAAAAACUAACAUGGGUCACAUGUAAAACUGUAAUUAGCAUGUAUUAGUAUUAGCAAUGAGUAUUCUGUUCA